UACGUAGGGUGCAAGCGUUAAUCGGAAUUACUGGGCGUAAAGCGUGCGCAGGCGGUUUUGUAAGUCAGAUGUGAAAUCCCCGGGCUUAACCUGGGAACUGCGCUUGUUACUGGCAAGCUGGAGUGUGGCAGAGGGGGGUGGAAUUCCACGUGUAGCAGUGAAAUGCGUAGAGAUGUGGAGGAACACCGAUGGCGAAGGCAGCCCCCUGGGCUAACACUGACGCUCAUGCACGAAGGCGUGGGGAGCAAACAGG
rnacentral:rRNA from 1 species